rnacentral:rRNA from 1 species
AGAGUUUGAUCAUGGCUCAGGACGAACGCUGGCGGCGUGCUUAACACAUGCAAGUCGAACGGAAAGGCCCUUCGGGGUACUCGAGUGGCGAACGGGUGAGUAACACGUGGGUGAUCUGCCCUGCACUCUGGGAUAAGCCUGGGAAACUGGGUCUAAUACCGGAUAGGACCGCAUGCUUCAUGGUGUGUGGUGCAAAGCUUUUGCGGUGUGGGAUGAGCCCGCGGCCUAUCAGCUUGUUGGUGGGGUAAUGGCCUACCAAGGCGACGACGGGUAGCCGGCCUGAGAGGGUGACCGGCCACACUGGGACUGAGAUACGGCCCAGACUCCUACGGGAGGCAGCAGUGGGGAAUAUUGCACAAUGGGCGCAAGCCUGAUGCAGCGACGCCGCGUGAGGGAUGACGGCCUUCGGGUUGUAAACCUCUUUCAGUAGGGACGAAGCGAAAGUGACGGUACCUACAGAAGAAGGACCGGCCAACUACGUGCCAGCAGCCGCGGUAAUACGGAGGGAGCUAGCGUUGUUCGGAAUUACUGGGCGUAAAGCGUACGUAGGCGGUUAUUCAAGUCAGGGGUGAAAGCCUGGAGCUCAACUCCAGAACUGCCCUUGAAACUAGAUAACUAGAAUCUUGGAGAGGUGAGUGGAAUUCCGAGUGUAGAGGUGAAAUUCGUAGAUAUUCGGAAGAACACCAGUGGCGAAGGCGACUCACUGGACAAGUAUUGACGCUGAGGUACGAAAGCGUGGGGAGCAAACAGGAUUAGAUACCCCGGUAGUCCAA